rnacentral:rRNA from 1 species
UACGGAGGAUGCAAGCGUUGUCCGGAAUUACUGGGCGUAAAGGGCGCGUAGGCGGCACUGUUAGUCAGGCGUGAAAGUCCUGGGCUCAACCUGGGAACUGCGCUUGAUACGGCAGAGCUAGAGGAUGGAAGAGGCUCGCGGAAUUCCCAGUGUAGAGGUAAAAUUCGUAGAUAUUGGGAAGAACACCGGUGGCGAAGGCGGCGAGCUGGUCCAUUACUGACGCUGAGGCGCGACAGCGUGGGGAGCAAACAGG